rnacentral:rRNA from 1 species
GACGAACGCUGGCGGCGUGCUUAACACAUGCCAGUCGAACGGUGAAGCGCCUUCCUUUUUGGUGGGUGUGGAUGAGUGGCGAACGGGUGAGUAACACGUGAGUAACCUGCCCCCUUCUUCUGGAUAACCGCAUGAAAGUGUGGCUAAUACGGGAUAUUCUGGGUCUGUCGCAUGAUGGGUCUGGGAAAGAUAUUGUUUCGGUGGGGGAUGGGCUCGCGGCCUAUCAGCUUGUUGGUGGGGUGAUGGCCUACCAAGGCGGUGACGGGUAGCCGGCCUGAGAGGGUGGACGGUCACACUGGGACUGAGACACGGCCCAGACUCCUACGGGAGGCAGCAGUGGGGAAUAUUGCACAAUGGGCGCAAGCCUGAUGCAGCGACGCCGCGUGAGGGAUGGAGGCCUUCGGGUUGUGAACCUCUUUCGCCAGUGAAGCAGGACUGCCUCGUUUGUGGGUGGGUUGACGGUAGCUGGAUAAGAAGCGCCGGCUAACUACGUG